rnacentral:lncRNA from 1 species
UUGAUGUACAUGAUUUCCAAAACCAUUCAAGUAAGGAUCAGUGAUAUAAGAUACAUAACUUUAUGUAGAGUCAUAUAUAUUCUUAAUAAUAAGUAUAUAGCAUGCAACUAUCAAAAAUCAUAUAGAGCAAAAUUAUCGAUGCAUAAAAUAAUUUUAUGUAAAUAGAUUAUCAAUGUCCAGUAGUUUUUAUCUUUAUUGCCGGUCA